rnacentral:rRNA from 1 species
UACGUAGGGGGCAAGCGUUAUCCGGAUUUACUGGGUGUAAAGGGAGCGUAGGUGGUGUGGUAAGUCAGGUGUGAAAGCCCGGGGCUCAACUCCGGGAUUGCACUUGAAACUAUCAUACUAGAGUGCAGGAGAGGUAAGUGGAAUUCCUAGUGUAGCGGUGAAAUGCGUAGAUAUUAGGAGGAACACCAGUGGCGAAGGCGGCUUACUGGACUGUAACUGACGCUGAGGCGCGAAAACGUGGGGAGCAAACAGG